AGCUUGUUCUUUCUUACUAUCUUUGAUUUCGUUGCGCGCCAUUUGCUUCUUUUCAUAGUUAUCUAUUUUCGGAUCCGAGAAAUGGCCAGUUAUCCCGAAGACCCACAUGAAUCCAGCGCUCCACCGCCGGAGCCACCGCCGCAACGACCACGGCCAUCACGCCCACCACCGCCACGACCACAGCCUUCACGCCCACCGCCACCUCCUAAUCCCACCCCCAACCCAAGACUAUUCAAGCUUCGGUACUUCUUCAAUGACACUUGCUUCUGUAUCAGACCGUUUCAAAAGUCCUCUAGGUCUCAAAUUCCACCUGAGGCCCCAAAAAUAGUAUAUGAGAAUCCUUGGACCUCGGCUCGGUCAGACUGGCAGAAAAAAUCGGAAAUUGGACCUCAAUCUUGCAAUUCAGAGGAAGAGGAGGAUAUAUAGGCACAAUUUGUUAUGAUGGUGAUGUUGCCACAGGACGUAACUCGCAGAAAACUUAAAGACGACAACUACUUAGUUUGCAAUUCAAAUGCACUUCCCAUAUAAUGUAGAGAGUUCCCGAGGUUACGAAAUCCAUGUAGUUCUUUUGUUCCUUUUUAUUUUCCACGAUACCUUAUGCUGGGAAAAGCAAAUACACAAUGGCCACAACAGUAGAAUGCAAAAUUCAUUUCUUUUCAUUGUUCCUUUAUUUGCAAUUUGAAGACAGUUCAGGUGACAUGUAAAGUGGGGUUAGUAGAGUUUGUGAUGAUGAGAAGUCUUGCACAGAUAAUCCUCCGAGACAUGUUAGUUAU